rnacentral:rRNA from 1 species
AGAGUUUGAUCCUGGCUCAGGAUGAACGCUGGCGGCGUGCUUAACACAUGCAAGUCGAACGGGAUCCAAGGGCGCUUGCGUUUUUGGUGAGAGUGGCGAACGGGUGAGUAACACGUGAGUAACCUGUCCUUUUCUUUGGGAUAAGCUUCCGAAAGGGUGUUUAAUACCUUAUGUUCUGUCUGCCUCGCAUGGGGUGGGUGGGAAAGAUUUUUUCGGUAAAGGGUGGGCUCGCGGUCUAUCAGCUUGUUGGUGGGGUGAUGGCCUACCAAGGCUUUGACGGGUAGCCGGCCUGAGAGGGUGGUCGGUCACAUUGGGACUGAGAUACGGCCCAGACUCCUACGGGAGGCAGCAGUGGGGGAUAUUGCACAAUGGGCGAAAGCCUGAUGCAGCGACGCCGCGUGGGGGAUGAAGGCCUUCGGGUUGUAAACUUCUUUUGCUCUGAACAAGGCGCACCGUGGGGUGUGUUGAGUGUAGGGGUUGAUUAGCGCCGGCUAACUACGUGCCAGCAGCCGCGGUAAUACGUAGGGCGCGAGCGUUGUCCGGAAUUAUUGGGCGUAAAGGGCUUGUAGGUGGCUGGUUGCGUCUGUCGUGAAAGCUCAUGGCUUAACUGUGGGUUUGCGGUGGGUACGGGCUGGCUUGAGUGCAGUAGGGGAGGCUGGAAUUCCUGGUGUAGCGGUGGAAUGCGCAGAUAUCAGGAGGAAUACCGGUGGCGAAGGCGGGUCUCUGGGCUGUUACUGACACUGAGGAGCGAAAGCAUGGGGAGCGAACAGGAUUAGAUACCCUGGUAGUCCAUGCUGUAAACGGUGGGAACUGGGUGUGGGGGGCUUUUUUGUCUUCUGCGUCGUAGCUAACGCGUUAAGUUCCCCGCCUGGGGAGUACGGUCGCAAGGCUAAAACUCAAAGGAAUUGACGGGGGCCCGCACAAGCGGCGGAGCAUGCGGAUUAAUUCGAU